AAAAGAGAUUGUUGAAGAUGAACCACUUGUGGCAGAAGUCAAAGAAAGAUGGCCAGCAUUGUUCUCUGAACAGCAGAUUGUAGCUGAAUUUGCUCGCCUUACAUCUGUUGACCUGAAAGGCUCCCUAUUUGCUGGGAUUGACCAGUACCUGGCAAGGUUCCUGGAGCUGUACAAAGCCAAGAGUGGCAUAGUGGGACUGACCAGGCUCACAAGACAGCUUGAUGAAGACAGUUCCACACAGAGGAAGAGGACUGUUCUUCUGCUAAAUAAGUCAAUUAAUUGAAGAUGGCUUGUAGGCCCUGAAAAGUUCGACUUACCCAAUCAUAACUAUUAAAUACCCAGCCCCAAUUACCUAUAUCUUGUAGAUGCCAGACAUAAAAAUGUG